rnacentral:rRNA from 1 species
GAUUGAACGCUGGCGGCAUGCUUUCCCCAUGCAAGUCGAACGGUAACAGGCCUUCGGGUGCUGACGAGUGGCGAACGGGUGAGUAAUGCAUCGGAACGUACCCAGAGGUGGGGGAUAACGCAGCGAAAGCUGUGCUAAUACCGCAUGUGAUCUGAGGAUGAAAGCGGGGGACCGAGCAGCAAUGUUUGGCCUCGCGCCUUUGGAGCGGCCGAUGUCGGAUUAGCUAGUUGGUGGGGUAAAGGCCUACCAAGGCGACGAUCCGUAGCUGGUCUGAGAGGACGACCAGCCACACUGGGACUGAGACACGGCCCAGACUCCUACGGGAGGCAGCAGUGGGGAAUUUUGGACAAUGGGCGCAAGCCUGAUCCAGCAAUGCCGCGUGCGGGAAGAAGGCCUUCGGGUUGUAAACCGCUUUUGGCAGGAACGAAACGGUGUCCGCUAAUACCGGGCGCUAAUGACGGUACCUGCAGAAUAAGCACCGGCUAACUACGUG